AUAGAAACAUGGGGGGUUUGCUGAAAAUUCAAUCACGUGCAUAAUUGACUCACGUUCUUCACGAGUUGAGAACCAAAAGUUCAAAUGCCUUUUGUUUCCCUCCAUCUGAACUCUCCUCCGCCGCACCGGAGGUCGCGUUCGGUGGUGGUGGAGCCCUAAACGUCAAACAAAACAUGCCAAAACCUUCCUUCCAUUGCCCUGAGUCUUAAUCUCAAGUCCAAAUUCCGAAAUUUCCCAACAUUUGCUUAAUUCGAACCAAUCCAUACAUGAACCCUAGCCAACCAAAAUUGAAAUUAAAUCUUUAUCCUCCGAAUCAAAGCCCUAGAGUUUAGGGCUUUGAUUCCCCUCCCCGAAUCCUACAUCCCGGUAGCUAGCACAAAGCAAACGAUGAAGGAAAAACAGAUACUCAUCGGAGAAGAUGCAGCUGACACCGGACUUCAGUUAUUGUGAAUGUCAUGGAUGAUUGGCUUGAAUGGAUGGUUGUUUGGUACAUGAUGUUUGACCUGCUUUUGACUAUCAUGCAUGGUUGGAUAAUGUAUGUAUGUUUGAAUGCUUGGUUGUUGGCUUGUGGAACAUGACCUCAAGACAAGGCAAAACAAGGCUUGGCACUUGAACAUUCAAGGCAUGACAAAAACCAAACUUGAUGCAAAAAAGGGGUUUUCUUGGUCAUGAAGAAAGUUAAUGAUGGAAUCACAUGGAAAGGUGCAAGAAUGGAUAUACAUUAAGCAUUAGGGUUUAGGUCAUGUAAAAAUAGGUUAGUUGACUUUGAUCAACUAGUUGACCAAAAAGUCAACAGUUGACCAAAAAGUCAACAGUUGAUCAAAAAAAGUAAACUUUUGUAAAUAUUUUAUUUUAUUUUGUACGGACAAUGUAAAAUGAUAAUGUAUGAAUGAAUGGACACCCUUUUGAAUGAAAGUGGUAUUUAUGAUUGAAUGAAA